AACGAACGCUGGCGGCAUGCCUAACACAUGCAAGUCGAACGGGAUCCUAGCUUGCUAGGUGAGAGUGGCGGACGGGUGAGUAACACGUGGGAAUCUGCCUUUUGGUUCGGGAUAACCGCGGGAAACUGCGGCUAAUACCGAAUGCCCUCGAGAGAGGAAAGAUUUAUCGCCAGAAGAGGAGCCCGCGUCCGAUUAGGUAGUUGGUGGGGUAAAGGCCUACCAAGCCGACGAUCGGUAGCUGGUCUGAGAGGAUGAUCAGCCACACUGGGACUGAGAUACGGCCCAGACUCCUACGGAGGCAGCAGUGGGGAAUAUUGGACAAUGGGGCGAACCCUGAUCCAGCAAUGCCGCGUGAGGUGAUGAAGGCCUUAGGGUUGUAAAGC
rnacentral:rRNA from 1 species